AGUGGGAUAACUGGGUCAAAUUGUGGUUCCCUCUCAAGUUUUCUGAGGAAUUUCCAUGCUGCUUUCCAGAGUGGUUGUGCCAAUUUGAAGUCCCACCAGCAAU
rnacentral:pre_miRNA from 1 species